rnacentral:rRNA from 1 species
GUGGGGAAUUUUGGACAAUGGGCGCAAGCCUGAUCCAGCGACGCCGCGUGGAGGACGAAGGCCUUCGGGUUGUAAACUCCUUUUGGAGGGGAAGAAUAAAUUGACGGUACCCUCAGAAAAAGCCACGGCUAACUACGUGCCAGCAGCCGCGGUAAUACGUAGGUGGCGAGCGUUACUCGGAAUUACUAGGCGUAAAGCGUAUGUAGGUGGUUAGAUAAGUCUAUGGUGAAAUUUCCUGGCUUAACUGGGAAGGAACAUAGAUACUAUCUGGCUUGAGUGUGGGAGGGGGAGACGGAAUUCCUGGUGUAGCGGUGAAAUGCGUAGAUAUCAGGAGGAACACCGAUGGCGAAAGCAGUCUCCUGGCCCAAUACUGACACUGAGGUACGAAAGCUAGGGUAGCAAACAGGAUUAGAAACCCCAGUAGUCC